ensembl:lncRNA
GCUACAGUUUCAUUUUGGUGAAACACUGCAAAUUCUCUUGCAUUCCCAUAAUGUGGUUCAUAUGCCAGUGUCUAAGGAAAGAGAUCACCCUUCCAGCACAUACUACCAUUCAGCUUCCCUGGAUUGUGGCACAGGACAGGACAAAGAGAACUUCCUGUUUAGGGGUUUCUGAGAUUCAACUGUGGAAAGAAUAGCCAUGACUUGAAGAUGUCAGUGCUAAAAGCCCAAACGAAAUUUGGAAACCUGGAGAAUCUUAGCAAUGGAAGAUGAUGGGCAGAAAAAUUAAUGAAGUAUUUUGGCAGACUAGAUAUUGAUCCGAAGUAUGUAAAAUGCACAAUCAUGGAGCAUCAAAAGCCUACUUCAAAAUAGACCUCUGAGUCAGAGAGGGACAGGACUGAGAGGAAACCUUUGGGGAAUAAAUAUGGGAAUAAACACUGCUACAAUUCUCUUAGCCAGCAUGAUUCCUUGGAAAGAAGUUUAUUAACUGUUGUAGAGGCCUGCUACCAAAGAAAGACUGAGAAUCAUCCCUAGUCAUUCAUUGGUUUGGACAGUUUCCAGCUUCAACUCUGUCUUCCUUGCUUCCCCAGAGGCAGCCAAUAACACCUCUUUACCUCCACAAACAAACAAGCAAACCAACCUGUUUGUUCUUAAUUCUAACUGCCAAGUCUUAGCACUAAAGCUGAUAUUGAGUUGGUGUAAACUGGAGUUUAAUCGAUCUGUGUGGAUUUAUCUCUACUAAAGGUUUGUCUUACAGUUAUUUGACAAACACAGGCACAGUGCUUUGUGGAGGGUGGCAGUCUACAGUAGAGAAGAGGAUGGUAUGGCUACUUAAGCUAUGACAUGUUGGGCAUUACACUGUGUGAUUACUUCAUCAGAAAAUAGAAUCAUUAAGAUUGGAAAAGACCACUAAAAUCAUCUAGUCCAACUGUCAACCUAUCCCCCACCAUGCCCACUAACCGUGUCCCUCAGUGCUACAUUUAUCCUAUUCAUGAAACCCUCCAGGGACAGUGCCUUCACCACUUCCCUGUAUUUUACAUUCAGUUCUGCAAAGAUAUGUCUGGUAAUGCAAACUACUGGAGACAGAGGAUAAUAAAUUUGUUUCUGCAACCUCUGUUUUUAUAUAUCUUUUACCUUGGC